UGGCUGCCAACGGGAUUAAAAAAUAACAAUUAAUGGGAAAGCAGCCGGGACGGAGCGUCCCGGUGACCCCUGUGAGGGAGGAAAGGAGCAGGGCAAGGAGCCCAGACCCCGGAGGGGGGGGACACACAGCGCUCCCCCGGAGCAGCCCCAAGCCGCGGCUUCCCCGGCUGCCACGGGACGAGGCUCCCACGGGAAGCAGCUCACAUGGCCGGACCGUGGCUAACAGAGCUGCCUUUGAAGUCGGGCUGUCCCCACGCCUCGGGCAGCGGGGCCAGCUCUGAAACGCCCGCUCCGGCAGCCGAGCCGGCGAGCACCCGGGGAGCCGAGCCUCCCUCUGCGGGUCAUCCCGACCGGCUCCCUGGAGACACGCCAUCAAUCCACCGCCCGGGAACAGCCCUGCUAAACCCAGCAUUCGGCUCUCCUGCAGAGGGGAAUGAGAUGCAGAGCCCUCGGACCUGCGAGGAAAGGAUUUUUUUUUUGCUGCUGUUCGUGGAACAAAGAGUCUUUUGUCUGCGUUCGAUGUUAUCAGGAGUUAUUUUUAGGUCAACGCCUGCACUUGCUGGUGUUGUCGGGAUUAUCUCUAAAUCGACAGACCUUCAAAGACACUGCCUGAGCACGAAGAGGGAGGAAAUCCUUGUGUUGUCUCUUGGAAGGGACAUUUGCCCUUGGGCUCGGCCCGAUAAGGGUUUAUUGCUCAAACUGGGGAAUUCCUAUUAAAGUCCUACAACUUCUUAA